rnacentral:hammerhead_ribozyme from 1 species
NNCCAGCUGACGAGUCCCGAAUAGGACGAAACGCGCGUCCUGGAU